UCAGUCAGCAGGGUCUCCAG
rnacentral:misc_RNA from 1 species